AUCCUAUGCUUCCUAGAAAAGCUUCGUAAGGAGAUGUCUAUUAAUCCGUACCGUAAACCGACACAGGUAGACGAGGAGAGAAUCCUCAGGCGAUUGGGAGAACUCUAGUUAAGGAACUCUGCAAAUUUGUGCCGUAACUUCGGGAGAAGGCACGCCUUUGUUGGUGACAUCACUUGCUGAUGGAGCUGAUGAGGGCCGCAGUGAAAAGGGGGUAGCGACUGUUUAUCAAAAACAUAGGUCUAUGCUAAAGCGAAAGCUGAUGUAUAUGGGCUGACGCCUGCCCAGUGCCGGAAGGUUAAGGGGAAGGGUUAACGCUCUGAACCGAAGCCCCGGUGAACGGCGGCCGUAACUAUAACGGUCCUAAGGUAGCGAAAUCCCUUGUCGGGUAAGUUCCGACCCGCACGAAUGGUGUAACGACCUGAGCGUUGUCUCAACGAGGGACUCGGUGAAAUUGCAAGACCCGUGAAGAUGCGGGUUACCCGUGACAGGACAAAAAGACCCCGUGGAGCUUUACUGUAGCUUGGCAUUGGACUGGGGUUAUAGAUGUGUAGGAUAGGCGGGAGACUUUGAAGCAGGCACGCCAGUGUUUGUGGAGUCGACCUUGAAAUACCGCUCUUCUGUAAUUUUGGCCCUAACUCAACGAAAAUUGAGGACCCUGCCAGGUGGGCAGUUUGACUGGGGCGGUCGCCUCCCAAAAGGUAACGGAGGCGCCCAAAGGUUCCCUCAAGGUGGAUGGAAAUCACCUGUAGAGUGCAUUGGCAUAAGGGAGCUUGACUGUGAGACCUACAAGUCGAGCAGAGACGAAAGUCGGGCAAAGUGAUCCCACGAUUCCGAGUGGAAGGGUCGUGGCUUAACGGAUAAAAGCUACCCCGGGGAUAACAGGCUUAUCUCCCCCAAGAGUUCACAUCGACGGGGAGGUUUGGCACCUCGAUGUCGGCUCGUCGCAUCCUGGGGCUGUAGAAGGUCCCAAGGGUUGGUCUGUUCGCCAUUUAAAGUGGUACGCGAGCUGGGUUUAGAACGUCGUGAGACAGUUCGGUCUCUAUCCGUCAUGGGCGUAGGAAAUUUGAGGGAAUCUGCUUCUAGUACGAGAGGACCGAAGUGGACGAACCUCUAGUGUACCUGUUGUCGCAUCAGCGGCAUUGCAGGGUAGC
rnacentral:rRNA from 1 species